CCUACGGGAGGCUGCAGUGGGGAAUAUUGCACAAUGGGCGGAAGCCUGAUGCAGCAACGCCGCGUGCGGGAUGACGGCCUUCGGGUUGUAAACCGCUUUCGCCUGUGACGAAGCGUGAGUGACGGUAAUGGGUAAAGAAGCACCGGCUAACUACGUGCCAGCAGCCGCGGUGAUACGUAGGGUGCGAGCGUUGUCCGGAUUUAUUGGGCGUAAAGGGCUCGUAGGUGGUUGAUCGCGUCGGAAGUGUAAUCUUGGGGCUUAACCCUGAGCGUGCUUUCGAUACGGGUUGACUUGAGGAAGGUAGGGGAGAAUGGAAUUCCUGGUGGAGCGGUGGAAUGCGCAGAUAUCAGGAGGAACACCAGUGGCGAAGGCGGUUCUCUGGGCCGUUACUGACGCUCAGGUACGAAAGCGUGGGGAGCAAACAGGAUUAGAUACCCCGGUAGUC
rnacentral:rRNA from 1 species